rnacentral:lncRNA from 1 species
GUGGAAUAAUCACAGCCUUUGCUUGAAGAAUUCCCUGCCUGUCAGACCCUGAAGGCUCAAGUCUGUGGACAGAAGAUGUAUUCAUGUCCCUUGCUGGGGAACUCUACUGCCAGCAGAUCUUGGCCUACAACCCUUUCUCUCCAAGAGGCACAUUCCCCAGGGCAGGUCUGAAACCAGAGAGAGUUUUGAAGACCAGGGAGAAGGAGAAAGCAUCACCAGAAAUAGCAGUUUCCCAAUGAAACUUUAUCUGAACUUUUUGAAAGGGAGAGCGCUCCCCUAAUGAACAUAGAUCAGCAAAGGUAGGAGGACUUUGGAGGCACAAAGACCUGGUUCAAAUCCCAAGUGUCAGUUGAAGCUGUCCCUUCUCUGAGAUCCUUCUUUCCUCAUCUUGGAAAUG